AGAGAGGCCUUUCACUGAUUUAUUACAAUCUUUUCAUAUAAUAGAAUAAAUUGAUAUAUUAGUAUUUGAUGUACAGAAGUCUGUACAGUAACAGUAAUGUCACACUUUUCCAGUGUUUUACCACUUGACCUCUGUACAAAAAGUUGCCUUUUUAUUUUAAAUGUGGUUGUGUCGUUCUGUGCAAAGCCUUACGUCCAAACAAAGAGGGCUCAUGAGCAAAAGUUUCAUCUUCUCACCAGUAGCAUGCUGCAGAAAAAGCACAAGACAUCUGCAGCUCCACCUCAAAUCUACACCUGCAGCUAUUUGAAUAGCACUGA